GAAAUGCGAUAAGUAAUGUGAAUUGCAGAAUUCAGUGAAUCAUCGAAUCUUUGAACGCACCUUGCGCUCCUUGGUAUUCCUUCGAGCAUGCCUGUUUGAGUAUCAUGAAAUCUUCAAAGUAAAUCUUUUGUUAACUCAAUUGGUUUCUACUUUGGUAUUGGAGGUCUUUGCAGCUUCACACCUGCUCCUCUUUGUUCAUUAGCUGGAUCUCAGUGUUAUGCUUGGUUCCACUCGGCGUGAUAAGUUAUCUAUCGCUGAGGACACUGUAAAAGGUGGCCAAGGUAAAUGCAGAUGAACCGCUUCUAAUAGUCCAUUGACUUGGACAAUACUUUUAUGAUCUGAUCUCAAAUCAGGUAGGACUACCCGCUGAACUUAAGC
rnacentral:misc_RNA from 1 species